GUUAACUUUCAUGUAAUGUAAACCUAAACUCAUCAGGAAUUGAGCCCUAGGUGCUAUAACUCUAUCCAUCUGUAAUAUCCUCUAAAAUCCUGAGAAAUUACAUAUAACUCUCCCAUUACAUAGAUGAGGAAACAAGCUAUGCGAUCCUUCUGAGGUUGGAUUAUGACCAGGCCAGAUGUUGAGUACUUGGUGCUUUGACCUUCUGCAGAUUGUUGUGCUGACCUCCAGUUCUGUUUGCAGUAAGGAGUAUUCACUUAGCCAACAAGUAUUUACAGAGUGCCAGGUAGCUCAUCUAAAUAGCAGUGGGAUUAAAGAGAUAAGAAGGGGUACAGUCUUGCAUUCCAGGAAGGAGCUCCCCUAAGAGUGAGGAGACUGCCAGGUAAACAAAUGGUUCCAGAAUAGUCCAGUGAGACUUGCGAGGAGUCUGAACAGGGGGCCACCGGAAGCCUUGAGAGCAAAAACGCAGCGGGUAGG
rnacentral:lncRNA from 1 species